rnacentral:lncRNA from 1 species
UACACUCUUGGACUUACAAAGGUCCAGAGGGGUUAUCUUUAUUAGCUUAGGAGAAUACUGUGUUUAAUUUUACAAGUCACCAAACUGUUAUAACAUCAAGACAACAUAAAUUCAUGCUUCCAUUUGAUUUUAAUUUUCUGUCACUUUGGCGUUUGCUAGUGUGAGGAUUUGGGUAAUGUGUGUUACCACUGCCCCCUCCUGGAUGUGAUCAGGCUUGCUCACAGCUGCCUAGCCCCUCCAGCGCUUCCCCUGAAGCGCAAGCAUUGUGAGCCAUGGCUUUUGGAAAAACCUCAGCUCUUGCUUCCUCUGCCAGUUUCCAAGUGACCCUACCACACAGUGACAAAAUCCCAGGAACGGUGCUCAAGUUGGAGCAGCUGAGGGAAAAGGGACACUCAGUUGUGAAAAAUGAUACAGGUGGGAGGAACUGGUCAGAGCACAUGUGGGAUGUGCUUGUUGCAGGUGGAAGAGAGUCUCUGGCUCCCACUGCUGUAAAGGAACACUGCUCUUAA